CAAGGGGCAAUGAAAACUUUUGCAGUGGACGAAACAAGUGUUAGUGGGUACAUAUACCACCAUUUGUUGGGCCAUGAGGUUGAGAAUCAAAAUGUUCGUAAUACACUUCCACGUCGUUUUGGUGCACCUGGUCUUCCAGAGCUCAAUGCAUCUCAAGUUUUUGCUGUAAAAAGUGUUCUUCAAAGACCUAUAAGCUUGAUUCAAGGUCCACCUGGCACUGGAAAAACUGUCACUUCUGCUGCCAUUGUUUAUCACAUGGCCAAACAGGGCCAGGGACAGGUUUUGGUAUGUGCCCCAAGUAAUGUAGCUGUAGACCAACUAGCUGAGAAGAUAAGUGCCACUGGCUUGAAGGUUGUUCGCCUUUGUGCUAAAUCAAGGGAAGCUGUAAGUUCCCCUGUUGAGCAUUUGACCCUCCACUAUCAGGUUAGACAUCUUGACACUUCUGAAAAGAGUGAACUUCACAAGUUACAACAAUUGAAAGAUGAACAAGGAGAACUAUCCAGCAGUGAUGAAAAAAAA
rnacentral:misc_RNA from 1 species